AGCAGCGCAGAAGUGACAUCACGCCGAAGUGCAAAUUCGGAGACGUACCCCUCAAAGGGUGCCAGGGCUUCUCCCGUUU
rnacentral:tRNA from 1 species